rnacentral:rRNA from 1 species
CAGCAGCCGCGGGAACACAGAGGGUGCGAGCGUUAAUCGGAUUUACUGGGCGUAAAGCGUGCGUAGGCGGCUUCUUAAGUCGGAUGUGAAAUCCCUGAGCUUAACUUAGGAAUUGCAUUCGAUACUGGGAAGCUAGAGUAUGGGAGAGGAUGGUAGAAUUCCAGGUGUAGCGGUGAAAUGCGUAGAGAUCUGGAGGAAUACCGAUGGCGAAGGCAGCCAUCUGGCCUAAUACUGACGCUGAGGUACGAAAGCAUGGGGAGCAAACAGGAUUAGAUACCCGGGUAGUCCCUGUCUCUUAUAC